rnacentral:rRNA from 1 species
UACGGGGGGGGCAAGCGUUGUUCGGAAUUACUGGGCGUAAAGGGCUCGUAGGCGGCCAACUAAGUCGGAUGUGAAAUCCCCAGGCUUAACCUGGGAACUGCAUCCGAUACUGGAUGGCUUGAAUCCGGGAGAGGGAUGCAGAAUUCCAGGUGUAGCGGUGAAAUGCGUAGAUAUCUGGAGGAAUACCGGUGGCGAAGGCGGCAUCCUGGACCGGCAUUGACGCUGAGAAGCGAAAGCCAGGGGAGCAAACGGG